rnacentral:rRNA from 1 species
AAAGGCGGAUUUAUCUGCCGCUCAUGGAUGGGCCUGCGGUGCAUUAGCUAGUUGGUGAGAUAGUAGCUCACCAAGGCGACGAUGCAUAGCCGACCUGAGAGGGUGAUCGGCCACACUGGGACUGAGACACGGCCCAGACUCCUACGGGAGGCAGCAGUAGGGAGUCUUCCGCAAUGGACGCAAGUCUGACGGAGCAACGCCGCGUGAGUGAUGAAGGGUUUCGGCUCGUAAAACUCUGUUGUUAAGGAAGAACACUUGAGGUAGUAACUGGCCUUGAGAUGACGGUA